AAAACACUAUACAUAUUUGGGUUUUAUUACUCAAAACCCACAGCAACCACACUGAAGGAGAUGAACGGCUGAACGGCAUGACCAAGGCUGAACGGCUGAAGGAGAUGAACGGCGCUCGAUAGCAGCGACGUUCCAGCAUUCUCGGCGGCGUCGACGGCGGUUCCAGCAUUCCAGCAGUCACGGCGGCGCACUACCGCGGCUCCAGCAGUCACGGCGGCGCAGGUCUCGGCUCCAGCAGGCUCUCCGGCGGUGCUGGUUGCUCACGGUUCCAUCCGUGGGUUCAGCUGUGGACUAAGGCUCGAUGAAAAAGGGACAAGCAGGGGCUAAGGUCGACAAUGAAGGGAUAUCGACAGAGCUCUAAUGGCAAGGGCUUGAACGGCGCAGGCGAGGGUCGACUGUGUCUUCAUUGAAGAGGUCGAACAGGGACAAAUAAGAUUUGGUGGUUGAACAUUUGAAGAAUCUUUUCCUAGUUGAGCUUAAUAUCAGAAGUAGGAAAUGGUUAACAGAUAUGGAGUGUUUUGAUUUAGAGAAAAUAUCAUGUUACAGUGCAUAGAUGGGUUCAAGCAUUUAUUUGCUUCCCUAUUGCGGUGCUAUAUUCUCAACUUGUAUAACCAAUCAAGAGGCCUAGACGAUCCUGCAGUUCUAGCAGAGGAGACGGUGUUUAGCGUAAGCGAAAUUGAAGCACUUUAUGAAAUUUUUAAGAAGAUCAGUAGUGCUGUGAUUGAUGAUGGAUUAAUCAACAAGGUCUAUAUUGAGAUGCAUUUCUUUGGCGCAAUACUAGACAACAUUGACAGUUGAAGUUUUUAGAAUAAAAAAUAUAUUUCACUAACAUUGGAUACAUUUCUUGUUUAUUAUUUGAUGAUGAUAAAAUUUGAUUGUAGUAUAAACUAUCAUGUAAUAUGAUUUUGUAAGCCGAGUAGACUAAAUACUAAAAUUAUAUUUUUGAGUAAUUAAUAAAAAAUUAUUUUGUUGUA